rnacentral:rRNA from 1 species
UACAGAGGUCUCAAGCGUUUGUUCGGAUUCAUUGGGCGUAAAGGGUGCGUAGGUGGCGCUGUAAGUCGGGUGUGAAAUUUCGGAGCUUAACUCCGAAACUGCAUUCGAUACUGCCGUGCUUGAGGACUGGAGAGGAGACUGGAAUUUACGGUGUAGCGGUGAAAUGCGUAGAUAUCGUAAGGAAGACCAGUGGCGAAGGCGGGUCUCUGGACAGUUCCUGACGCUGAGGCACGAAGGUCAGGGGAGCAAACGGG